ensembl:snRNA U6 U6 spliceosomal RNA
GUGCACUCCAGCAGCACAUGUACUACAAUUGGAACAGCACAGAGCGAUUAGCAUGGCCCCUGUGCAAGGAUGAUGCAAAAAUGUAUAGUAUUUUCUAUUUUUUU